GACGAACGCUGGCGGCGUGCUUAACACAUGCAAGUCGAACGGUGAAGCUCCAGCUUGCUGGAGUGGAUCAGUGGCGAACGGGUGAGUAACACGUGAGCAGCCUGCCCCUGACUCUGGAAUAAGCGCUGGAAACGGCGUCUAAUACUGGAUACGAGAAGGGUCCGCAUGGGCACUUUCUGGAAAGUUUUUCGGUUGGGGAUGGGCUCGCGGCCUAUCAGCUUGUUGGUGAGGUAAUGGCUCACCAAGGCGACGACGGGUAGCCGGCCUGAGAGGGCGACCGGCCACACUGGGACUGAGACACGGCCCAGACUCCUACGGGAGGCAGCAGUGGGGAAUAUUGCACAAUGGGCGAAAGCCUGAUGCAGCGACGCCGCGUGAGGGAUGACGGCCUUCGGGUUGUAAACCUCUUUCAGCAGGGAAGAAGCGAAAGUGACGGUACCUGCAGAAGAAGCACCGGCUAACUACGUG
rnacentral:rRNA from 1 species